GUGCGGAGGGAAGGGGGAGGGCCCUAGAGGAGGGAGAAGAAGGGGCUCUCAUUUGCAUGCGGACUCUGCCCCCUCCCCCGCCUCCGGAGCGCAAAGCGCCGCAGCCCCUCCCCCCGCCCCCCAGGAAACCGCCGCCGGGGGCCCGGAGGCCGGGGGGGGGGGGGGCCCUCACCGGCGGGAAGGAGCGGGGGAGGGGCCACAGGCCUCCAGCCCUGGGAACCCCAGGGCCCGCGGGCGGGGCCUCAGUCCUCACCUCUGCUUCCCGGCGGGGCUGAGCUGAGCCCUGGGAACCUUUUCCCCCUUCCCCCUCCAGCCCUCCCCUACUCCUGGGACUACACAGCCCCAAUCCCGGUCCGAGCGUCCCCGCCGGAGAGGAUGGGCAAGCGGUCUGUGACCCGGCGCGGAGCAGGAAACUGAGCUCGAGAGAGAGAGAUGGGCUUGCCCAAAACGAGAAAAUGAACCCCUAGCUUCACCCCAACAGCCUCCCCUCACCCUCAAGCCCUGACCCUCCCGGAACACUUACCCCGUGCCUCUAUCCGGAUGAACCCACCAGUCAACAACAUCCAUCAACUAGCAGCUCUAGCAGACUCUAGCUGGUGAUCAAUGAACUCGGAUAUGGACGUUUUACUCGAGAGCCGGACAGGGCCCCGGCAUAUUCCAGCUUUGGGCUUAACAGAGCUCAGACUACACGCCAUACACGGGUCCAGAACCUGCCUGCUUCGGGCCCUGGCCUUCACCUGAAAUUUCGGGGCAGUGGGGGGGAUAUUGCCCAGGGGUUCCUGGCGGCAGGGGGUGGGGACGGGAGGGCGGCGAUGGGCUCCCGAGGCCUCCCGGGAAGAUCCCCAAGUGCCAGAAGCACGAGUCUCCCAUUCCGGAUUAAGCCUACCUCUCCAGACCUAUCCCACCUUCCAUGCGUUCUGCCUUCUAGCCAAUCUGGCCCAUUUGCAAAGAACCACCUCCCACCUCCCAGAUUUUCCACCGCAUCCCUGUUCCUGGAAUCCACUCCCUCCUCACCUGGGCCCCAGAAUCCCGAGUUUGCUUCAAGGCUGAGCCGCUUUUUACAGGAAACCUGACCUGAUGCCAUUAACUAUUUAUGAAUGCUCUUUCCUUAGAUUUUUUUUUUCGGUAAUCGCUUAUCAGUUUAAAUGUCGGCUCCACCGGUAGAACGGAAGCUCCACGAGGGCAGGGACUGGGCUUCGGGUCGGGCUCUGGAGCCCGAGUGCCCAGCCCGGAAGGCGCUGAAAAUCCGUCCCGGUCGCAGUGAAGUAAAUAAACUAGAUUCCCACCCUGGCUCCCGAUCCGAUCCCUGUGUGUGCACAAGUCACUUACUGUCUCUGGGCUUUCCUGUUCCCUUCUGUGAAAAUUCAUGGGGCCCGGGGAGGGAAGUGGGGCUGGACUUAAGGGUCAACUCCAUAGGCACUGGGGGAAGUGAAAAGGAGCAGCUGCCCCUUCUCCAUCCCCCACCCCAGAGUUUGGAAAGGUCUUCGGCAGCAGCUCCUUCCUCCCCUCCCCCAAGCAAGAUUAGGAGAGGGGAAGUUGUGGGCUAGCACUGGGCAGAUCCAAUGAUCCUUCCGUUGGGUAGUUCUGGACUUGGAGGGUCUGACUAGAGGCCUUUGAAGGUCCCCUCCAGCUCUAGGGUUCUCUGAUUGUGUAAAACCAUUCCUCAAGGAGCUACGUGGCCCGGCGUCGUGGAGCGGGGAAAG